UGGGGAAUAUUGGACAAUGGGCGAAAGCCUGAUCCAGCCAUGCCGCGUGUGUGAAGAAGGUCUUCGGAUUGUAAAGCACUUUAAGUUGGGAGGAAGGGCAUUAACCUAAUACGUUAGUGUUUUGACGUUACCGACAGAAUAAGCACCGGCUAACUCUGUGCCAGCAGCCGCGGUAAUACAGAGGGUGCAAGCGUUAAUCGGAAUUACUGGGCGUAAAGCGCGCGUAGGGGGUUUGUUAAGUUGGAUGUGAAAUCCCCGGGCUCAACCUGGGAACUGCAUUCAAAACUGACUGACUAGAGUAUGGUAGAGGGUGGUGGAAUUUCCGGUGUAGCGGUGAAAUGCGUAGAUAUAGGAAGGAACACCAGUGGCGAAGGCGACCACCUGGACUAAUACUGACACUGAGGUGCGAAAGCGUGGGGAGCAAACA
rnacentral:rRNA from 1 species